GAUGAACGCUAGCUACAGGCUUAACACAUGCAAGUCGAGGGACCGGCGCACGGGUGAGUAACACGGAUCCAACCUGCACUGUGCUCGGGGAUAACCGUUCGAAAGCAAGAUUAAUACACGAUAUAAAGGACGGGGAUGCGUUCCAUUAGGUUGUGGGGGAGGUAACGACUCACCAAGCCUUCGAUGGAUAGGGGUUCUGAGAGGAAGGUCCCCCACAUUGGAACUGAGACACGGUCCCAACUCCUACGGGAGGCAGCAGUGAGGAAUAUUGGUCAAUGGGCGCUAGCCUGAACCUGCCAAGUAGCGUGAAGGAUGAAGGCUUAUGGGUCUUAAACUUCUUUUAUAUAAGAAUAUGUAUUAUAUGAAUAAGGAUCGGCUAACUCCGUGCCAGCAGCCGCGGUAAUAC
rnacentral:rRNA from 1 species